AGAGUUUGAUCCUGGCUCAGGAUGAACGCUGGCGGCGUGCUUAACACAUGCAAGUCGAACGAAGCACUCUACUUGAUCUCUUCGGAGUGAUUGUUUUGUGACUGAGUGGCGGACGGGUGAGUAACGCGUGGGUAACCUGCCUCAUACAGGGGGAUAACAGUUGGAAACGACUGCUAAUACCGCAUAAGCGCACAGGGUCGCAUGACCUGGUGUGAAAAACUCCGGUGGUAUGAGAUGGACCCGCGUCUGAUUAGCCAGUUGGUGGGGUAACGGCCUACCAAAGCGACGAUCAGUAGCCGACCUGAGAGGGUGACCGGCCACAUUGGGACUGAGACACGGCCCAAACUCCUACGGGAGGCAGCAGUGGGGAAUAUUGCACAAUGGGGGAAACCCUGAUGCAGCGACGCCGCGUGAGCGAAGAAGUAUUUCGGUAUGUAAAGCUCUAUCAGCAGGGAAGAAGAAAUGACGGUACCUGACUAAGAAGCACCGGCUAAAUACGUGCCAGCAGCCGCGGUAAUACGUAUGGUGCAAGCGUUAUCCGGAUUUACUGGGUGUAAAGGGAGCGCAGGCGGUACGGCAAGUCUGAUGUGAAAGCCCGGGGCUCAACCCCGGUACUGCAUUGGAAACUGUCGGACUAGAGUGUCGGAGGGGUAAGUGGAAUUCCCGGUGUAGCGGUGGAAUGCGUAGAUAUCGGGAGGAACACCAGUGGCGAAGGCGGCCUACUGGGCACCAACUGACGCUGAGGCUCGAAAGUGUGGGUAGCAAACAGGAUUAGAUACCCUGGUAGUCCACACUGUAAACGAUGAUUACUAGGUGUUGGAGGAUUGACCCCUUCAGUGCCGCAGUUAACACAAUAAGUAAUCCACCUGGGGAGUACGACCGCAAGGUUGAAACUCAAAGGAAUUGACGGGGGCCCGCACAAGCAGUGGAGUAUGUGGUUUAAUUCGACGCAACGCGAAGAACCUUACCAAGUCUUGACAUCCUGCGACGGACAUAGAAAUAUGUUUUUCCUUCGGGACGCAGAGACAGGUGGUGCAUGGUUGUCGUCAGCUCGUGUCGUGAGAUGUUGGGUUAAGUCCCGCAACGAGCGCAACCCUUAUUGCCAGUUACUACGAAAGAGGACUCUGGCGAGACUGCCGUUGACAAAACGGAGGAAGGUGGGGAUGACGUCAAAUCAUCAUGCCCUUUAUGACCUGGGCUACACACGUACUACAAUGGCGUUUAACAAAGAGAAGCAAGACCGCGAGGUGGAGCAAAACUCAAAAACAACGUCUCAGUUCAGAUUGCAGGCUGCAACUCGCCUGCAUGAAGUCGGAAUUGCUAGUAAUCGCGGAUCAGCAUGCCGCGGUGAAUACGUUCCCGGGCCUUGUACACACCGCCCGUCA
rnacentral:rRNA from 1 species